rnacentral:rRNA from 1 species
CCUGGUUUUUAUAGGAGGUCUAGCCUGCCCAGUGACUAAGUUAAACGGCCGCGGUACCCUAACCGUGCAAAGGUAGCGCAAUCACUUGUUCUUUAAAUGAGGACUAGUAUGAACGGCAUCACGAGGGUUAUGCUGUCUCCCUACUUUAUUCAGUGAAACUGAUCUCCCCGUGAAGAAGCGGGGAUAAAAAUAUAAGACGAGAAGACCCCAUGGAGCUUUAAACUCAGUAUCAUCUGCUAUUAUUAAAACCUAAUACCCAAGCAAUUUCUGACUACUAGUUUUCGGUUGGGGUGACCACGGAGUAAAACAUAACCUCCACGAUGAAAGGAAUUAGCAACCUAAAUUAAGAGCUACAACUCUAAAUAUCAAUAAAUUGACUAAAUUGAUCCAAUUAAUUGAUCAACGAACCA